UGGGGAAUCUUGCGCAAUGGGCGAAAGCCUGACGCAGCGACGCCGCGUGAGUGAUGAAGGCCUUCGGGUUGUAAAGCUCUGUGGGGAGAGAAGAAUAAGUGCGGGCUAAUACUCCGCAUGAUGACGGUAUCUCCUUAGCAAGCACCGGCUAACUCUGUGCCAGCAGCCGCGGUAAGACAGAGGGUGCAAACGUUGUUCGGAAUUACUGGGCGUAAAGCGAGUGUAGGCGGUUUGAUAAGUCGGAUGUGAAAGCCCCGGGCUCAACCCGGGAAGUGCACUCGAUACUGUCAAGCUAGAGUAUCGGAGAGGUUGGUGGAAUUCUCGGUGUAGAGGUGAAAUUCGUAGAUAUCGAGAGGAACACCGGUGGCGAAGGCGGCCAACUGGACGAAUACUGACGCUGAGACUCGAAAGCGUGGGGAGCAAACAGG
rnacentral:rRNA from 1 species